rnacentral:lncRNA from 1 species
UCUCACCUGGGUUCUGGAGUCCAGCUCAAUUAGCCCUCUGUCCCACUGGUGUGUCCGCAAGCUGGCUUGGCCUUCAUCUUGUGUUUGUUUCUGGAACCACCUGCCCUAAAAUAUGUAAUUACUCAAGGCUUAAUUAAUCAAUCCCCUCCUUUGUAUGCUUUUGUGUGCGCACGCGUGCCUAUACGUGUUUGCAUGCGUGAGUGCACGCGCAUGUGCAUGCAUGGGCAGCCC